GUCUCACUUGGUCAGCACAUAUAGUAGAAUAUGAUACAGAAAUUAGCAUGGCUCCUGAACAAGGAUGACACACAAAUUCGUUUAGAGUUCCAUUAUUUG
rnacentral:snRNA from 1 species